AGCCCAUAAGAGAGGACUCCAGAUCCACUCACCUUUUUUCCUCUGGGGAAAAAAGGUGAGUGGAUCUGGAGUCCUCUCUUAUGGGCUCAGACAU